GACAAAUAACCAAGUGACAUUUUAAUUUCUGGCAUAAGAUCAGUAAUUCUUCCUUUAAUUCUACUUAUUGGGAACUUUGGGGGUAAUUAACCCGACCGUCCCCAUACCCUGUCCGGUAAUGAACGCCAAAAACACCAUCGCCUCGAUAUCCCGUCCGGUAUGAGAAUGAACUAUAUAUCUCAAAAUCCUUCUGGUAUGAGACUUCUCUUCCCCGUUCGAUUGAAGUAAUGUCCACGGUAGGGUUCCCUAUGUACCAGGUUUGUCCACCCUUUCCCAAGAUGCCUAAUAAGCUUUCAUUUAUUUAGAUUCACAUCAUCCAAACAACCACCAAAGCAUACCAAUGUAUCAUUUCAUAUUCACCGAUUAAUUUAAACGACAUUUAAGCAAACAAUAUAGUUUAACAUAACCGAAUAAUCAAGUAACCAGAUAAC
rnacentral:lncRNA from 1 species